rnacentral:sRNA from 1 species
GAAAGAGGAAGUUCGAUUAAAACCGUCACGUCAAUAGCCAACGUCGAACGACCCCACAUCGUGUGGG